GCCGGGGUGGCGAAACUGGUAAACGCGAUGGUCUCAAACACCAUUGGGUGAAAGCCCUUACGGGUUCGAGUCCCGUCCCCGGCA
rnacentral:tRNA from 1 species